CUAGAGACCUCCAUGGCCUAUGCUACAACUGAUAACUCUAUUCAACCGAGAGGUCCUCCUCUGAUUUUUUAGUUGUCUCUCUUUUUGCCUAUCUUGUUUCAUUACUACUGGUAGGUUAUUUUACGCUUCACCAACUUGUUCCCGUCUUCUUAACCUAAAUUUUUUCCAUUUCUCAUUUUCUGGAUAAUUGCUUGGGUCUUGGUCACAAUAUGGUCUACUAUUACUAUUACUGAUUUCUGGGUUCCUUAUUCUUUAUGCUACUACUGCACGCUACUACGUUUGAAUCUUUGGCACUUCUGCAAAGUGAUACGUGAAUCAGAUAUUGCAAGUUCUUGAUCGUGAUCCUUGCCCAUGUUUUGCUCUUGAAUCCUAUCAUACUGUGAUCAAGUUCACAACUUCUUCUUGUUUGUUGUUUGGCGGGCUCAUCACAUCUGCCCUUUUUUUUUUUUUUUUUUUGGUUAACCAUAUCAAACAGAUGU
rnacentral:lncRNA from 1 species